rnacentral:rRNA from 1 species
CCUACGGGCGGCAGCAGUCGAGAAUCAUUCACAAUGGGGGAAACCCUGAUGGUGCGACGCCGCGUGGGGGAAUGAAGGUCUUCGGAUUGUAAACCCCUGUCAUGUGGGAGCAAAUUAAAAAGAUAGUACCACAAGAGGAAGAGACGGCUAACUCUGUGCCAGCAGCCGCGGUAAUACAGAGGUCUCAAGCGUUGUUCGGAAUCACUGGGCGUAAAGCGUGCGUAGGCUGUUUCGUAAGUCGUGUGUGAAAGGCGCGGGCUCAACCCGCGGACGGCACAUGAUACUGCGAGACUAGAGUAAGGGAGGGGGAACCGGAAUGCUCGGUGUAGCAGUGAAAUGCGUAGAUAUCGAGAGGAACACUCGUGGUGAAGGCGGGUUCCUGGACAUUAACUGACGCUGAGGCACGAAGGCCAGGGGAGCGAAAGGGAUUAGAUACCCGAGUAGUC